UUGUCUCUUUUGCGGAUUUUACCUUUGGAUCAUGUUUAGAAUCUUGUUUACUUUUUACAGAAUCAUGUUGGUGCUUAUCCUUAACAUGCUUAGAUUCAGGUUUGUCAUUCUUGCCUUUCAGCUCUAAUUCUUCUUUUGUCUUUUCACUUUCUUUUUUGUUUUGACUUGAUUUCUUCAAAUCAUUCUUUGAGCUUUCGUCAUCAAUCAGGCUUUGCGAAGUAUCAGGUUGAGAUAUACUAUCCUCUGUUUCAUUCUUUAUUUUUUGGUCACUAGGUUUAACAUCAGCUUCUUGUUUCUCAAUGUCAGCAGUUUUAACUUCAGUUUCCAAACAAUUUGACACAUCAAGACCUUCAUCUAAAACAGGGGUAAUUUCUUGCUGAUCUAUAUUCAUACUGGCCUCGGCAC
rnacentral:lncRNA from 1 species